UUAGUUUACUAUUGGAGCGGUUAGUGGCGGACUGGUGAGUAACACGUAAGCAACCUGCCUAUCAGAGGGGAACAACAGUUAGAAAUGACUGCUAAUACCGCAUAUGCCUUAGAAUCACAUGGUUCAAAAGGGAAAGGAGCAAUCCGCUGAUAGAUGGGCUUGCGUCUGAUUAGCUAGUUGGUGGGGUAACGGCCUACCAAGUCGACGAUCAGUAGCCGGACUGAGAGGUUGAACGGCCACAUUGGGACUGAGAUACGGCCCAGACUCC
rnacentral:rRNA from 1 species